rnacentral:rRNA from 1 species
UACGGAGGGGGCAAGCGUUGUUCGGAAUUACUGGGCGUAAAGGGCGCGUAGGCGGCCUACUAAGUCGGACGUGAAAUCCCUCGGCUCAACCGAGGAACUGCGUCCGAUACUGGCGAGGCUUGAAUUCGGGAGAGGGAUGUGGAAUUCCAGGUGUAGCGGUGAAAUGCGUAGAUAUCUGGAGGAACACCGGUGGCGAAGGCGGCAUCCUGGACCGAGAUUGACGCUGAGGCGCGAAAGCUAGGGUAGCAAACGGG